CAAAAGCUUGGUCCUAACUUUACUAUCAACUUUUAGCUGUAUUUACACAUGCAAGUAUCCGCACCCCUGUGAGAAUGCCCAGAUGUUCUCUGCCUAGAGAACAAGGAACUGGUAUCAGGCACAAUUAAUAUAUUAGCCCAUGACACCUUGCAAAUGCCACGCCCUCAAGGGUACCACAGCAGUGAUAAACAUUAAGUAAUAAGUGAAAACUUGACUUAGUUAAAGCUAAGAGGGCCGGUCAAACUCGUGCCAGCCACCGCGGUUAUACGAGAGGCCCAAGUUGAUAGACAACGGCGUAAAGCGUGGUUAAAAGAGAAUCUAUAACUAAAGCCGAAGCCUAUCAAUACCGUUUAUACGUCAAAUUGACAGUAAGAAGCCCAUUAACGAAAGUAGCUUUAAACACUUGAAUCCACGAAAGCUAAGAGACAAACUGGGAUCAGAUACCCCACUAUGCCUAGCCCUAAACAUUGACAACACCAUACAUCUGUUGUCCGCCCGGGAACUACGAGCGUCAGCUUCAAACCCAAAGGACUUGGCGGUGCUUUAGACCCACCUAGAGGAGCCUGUUCUAGUACCGAUAACCCCCGUUCAACCUCACCCUUCCUUGCCCACUCCGCCUAUAUACCGCCGCCGUCAGCUUACCCUGUGAAGGAUGCAUAGUAAGCAUAAUUGGUACAACCCUAAACGCCAGGUCGAGGUGUAGCGUAUGGAAGGGGAAGAAAUGGGCUACAUUCUUUAGCAUAAAGAACACGAAUAAUAUGUUGAAACACAUACUUGAAGGAGGAUUUAGAAGUAAGCAGGAAGUAGAGCGUCCGGCUGAAACUGGCCCUGAAGCGCGCACACACCGCCCGUCACUCUCCCCAAACUUAUAUUACUAGCUAAAUAAAACCCUAUUAAAGUUAAGGGGGGACAAGUCGUAACAUGGUAAGUGUACCGGAAGGUGUACUUGGCACCAUAU
rnacentral:ncRNA from 1 species